AUUGAACGCUGGCGGAAUGCUUUACACAUGCAAGUCGAGCGGCAGCACGGGGGCAACCCUGGUGGCGAGCGGCGAACGGGUGAGUAAUACAUCGGAACAUGCCCAGUCGUGGGGGAUAACACUUCGAAAGAAGUGCUAAUACCGCAUACGUCCUGAGGGGGAAAGCGGGGGAUCGCAAGACCUCGCGCGAUUGGAGUGGCCGAUGUCAGAUUAGCUAGUUGGUGGGGUAAAGGCCUACCAAGGCAACGAUCUGUAGCUGGUCUGAGAGGAUGAUCAGCCACACUGGGACUGAGACACGGCCCAGACUCCUACGGGAGGCAGCAGUGGGGAAUUUUGGACAAUGGGGGCAACCCCGAUCCAGCCAUUCCGCGUGAGUGAAGAAGGCCUUCGGGUUGUAAAGCUCUUUCGGCAGGAACGAAACGGUGGGCUCUAACAUAGCUUGCUAAUGACGGUACCUGAAGAAGAAGCACCGGCGAACUACGU
rnacentral:rRNA from 1 species